ACGAACGCUGGCGGCGUGCUUAACACAUGCAAGUCAAACGGGGUUAAGAAAGAAGCUUGCUUUUUUCUUAACUUAGUGGCGGACGGGUGAGUAACGCGUGGAUAACCUGCCCAUCAGAUGGGGAUAACACCGGGAAACUGGUGCUAAUACCGGAUACGUACGUAAAAUGGCAUCUUUUUACGUAGAAAGGUGACGCAAGUCGCCACUGAUGGAUGGGUCCGCGUCCCAUUAGCUAGUUGGCAGGGUAAUGGCCUACCAAGGCAACGAUGGGUAGCCGGCCUGAGAGGGUGGCCGGCCACACUGGGACUGAGAUACGGCCCAGACUCCUACGGGAGGCAGCAGUGGGGAAUCUUCCGCAAUGGGCGAAAGCCUGGCGGAGCAACGCCGCGUGAGUGAUGAAGGCUUUCGGGUCGUAAAACUCUGUCUUGGGGGAAGAAAAAAAUGACGGUACCCCAGGAGGAAGCCCCGGCUAACUACGU
rnacentral:rRNA from 1 species